CAAGUCUAGGACUUUUGACAGUAAAUCAACCCCAUUUGUAGAGUUUCUUUCUAGCUUUUUAGCAAAGGUUUCUAUGCAGCAAAGGUUGUGUUUUUCUCCCAUUUUUAUUUGCUUCUUAAUGUACUAAAGAGAGUUAUACUUUGGUCAUAGCUAGUGGCUGUUUUACUUGUUUACAGCUGAUGGCAUGGAAAAAGUUCAUAACAAUGAUCAUGUCUUUAUGUAUUGAAUUUUAAUAAAGUAUCAAUAAUAUUUUAUACUACUUUAUGUGGUUAUAUA